rnacentral:rRNA from 11 species
GCCAACGCGUUAAGUGUCUCGCCUGGGGAGUACGGCCGCAAGGCUAAAACUUAAAGAAAUUGGCGGGAGUAGAAACAAGCAGUGGAGCGUGUGGUUUAAUGCGAUAAUACCCGCAAAUCUUACCAGCACUUGACUCACUCAUCUUCGUUUUUAGAUGUGCAGGAGUUGCAUGGCUGUCGUCAGUUCGUGUUGUGAAAUUUUUGGUUCAUUCCUUUAACGAACGAAACCCUUAAGGUAUGUU